GGGGGAGUCAUAAAGGAGGAGGAACCCUGUGGAAGAGGGAAUGAGAGGAGCAUAAAGAAGAAAGAUCCUGGGGAGAGAGAAUCACUGCUGUGAGAUGGAAUGCUAUACUGGGAAAUGGAAGAUGAUAAAAAUGGAAUAAAUUGAUAAACCCCUAUGUAAGUUAACCACUUACCUGGGAACUCAUCAAUGAUCCGGAGUUGGACAUGACAGUGGAGUCAGACAUUCCAGAGAGUUCUGCUUCCUGCCUUGUUGCAGAGUCCACAUCAGGAACAGAGGCUGAUGAUAUUGAAGGAUACACAGAGAUAUACACAGAGUGAUGUGAAGUUCUAAGACAGAUUUACAUCCGUCAGCUAUGACAAUUUGACCUCGUUGGAGAUAUUGCACAUCCUUAUUUUGAGGUUCAUAUAAUCUGUUGAAUUGAGCUUGGCACCAUUCAUAGUCUUAGAAGAAAUGGAAUACAUUUGGAAGCAAGCUAUAACAAUGAGAUAAUAGUAUUACUAACUGGAAUGGAACCAUCAGCGGAGUUCACUUGGAGUUUAUUUGUCACCUAUCAAAAUGCAGGACUCGGGACUAUCAUGGGAGGUUCCCAGAUCUGGGUCCAGGGGUUUUGUGGUCUGUUAUUGUGCAGAAGUAAGUUUAGGUUGACAGCUUAGUUGUGGGCUUGGCAGUGUGGUUUAGGGUUGGACUCAGUGAUCUUAGAGAUCUUUUCUAAUCUAAAUGAUUCCAUGGUUCUAUAUACAUCUCAACUCUCCUCCACAACUGGACAGGCAACCACUCGUACUCAGUACUGGGGUUAUUAUUUGAAAGGCACAAAUGUUUCGGGGUCUUUUGCAGGCCUGUCCCACAGCUUGAAAGACAUACAAGACAUGCUGUAGGCAUGAUGCUUCUCCCAGUGUUUCUGUUGGAUGUACCCAGACACUGGGAUUUUGUCCUCCAGUGUACGGUGAAGAUUGUCUCAGUUUUUUGUUGAUGGUAUGAUGCAAGAGACCCUCUUCUAGGGAAUGCUUGCUGCUGUCUCUGAGAAAAUGCACCUAGAGAAUAACAUGCAAUAAACUCAGUAAACAAAAGAAUGUAUGGAAUAAAUAUUUCUGCCAGAAGCUACAGAGCUGUAAAUUGUAGAUGUUUAACAAUUGAAGCUACAUCACACAGUUAAAUUACCACAUUUCUACUCUAAGAUCUUUCUCAUUUGUGUGUCUCCUCUAAGUUUUAUUGCCACACCUAUUAUUAAUUAUUGACUGCCCAGGAUUGGGUUAGAACUGAAACACUGGCAAUAGGCAUUGGCAGGUGAAGGAGACAACAAAUGAUAGAUUUAAGAAAUAGCUUUAGCUCAUUUCUAAUUUCUGUCUAAAAAGGUCAGAGCAAUCCUAUUUUUUACAAUAUGUUUGCAUUUUAUUGUAAUGGGAAUCUGGGUAAAAUCCUCAUUAUUGUACUGUUUCUGCUGUAAACACCCUAAGUCACUGGGUAAAAUACAAAAGCUUCAUUAUUUCAGGGACAUAGACAAUUUUUCCUCCUGCCCCAUUAGAGAAAUUCCAUGACUAGUUUUGUUUAUACUCUCACUUUCACCCGCUGAAGCUUGAAUUAAUUUUUGCACAGUAGAAUAACUUGGAGGGAAUCAGCUUAUUCCUUCUCUCUUAGUAAUCAGCCCAUAGCCUUUCAGUAAGGGUGCUCAUCAGAAAUAAGAUGAAUACUGGAGCUCAAAUGUACAGGCAGUAGCCAUGAGGUUUCUCUGUCCAGUCAUCAUUGAUUUUAGAAGGAAAUGGCAGUUUUAACUUUAUUUUGCCUGGAGCUGAUCGUGAUGGGCAUUUGUUGACAGUAUCUAUCAUAUUGACCUCCUUAGAGUAUGUAAGUGUUCCUUAUCUUAAUUUAUUGGAAUUCAGGGGUCAGUUAAUCUGAAAUAUAUAUAUAUAUAUGUAUAUUUACUGACUUACAGUAGUUCUGCUCAAUAAAUGAGCUAUAAGAGUAUGACAUAUUUGUUUACAAUUUACAAAUGCUCAAUUUGCAUAUAUUUAGGAAAGUGUACAAUUUGAGGCCUGGAAAAGAAGUUGCUGACUGAUUAGGACACCUAAAAAUAUAGAGGUUGGUGGGGGUUUUUUUUGUUUUGUUUUGUUUUUAAUGGAUUUCAAAAUUCAGAAUUUCCCACUGAGCCCAUGUAUUUAGAGGUGCCAAAUCUCUCCUUUACAGAAUGGUAUGCAGUAACUGCUUUAUGGAAGAGAUGAAAUAAAUUAAAAAAACUUCUCCUCAACUUUUCCUGUCCUAAUGUCUCCUUUAGGAUUCUGUUUUAAAAAAUGGUGUUAUGGAA